AACAGUAAUCAGUACAAAUGCAGUAAUGCAACCCAUCCCAAUCCAGCUAACACACCACUCCGUACCACCAACACACCAUGUGGGGAUAAAAUCGACCCACCCAGCCAACACACCAAAAUCGCAACAAAGCUGCCAGUAUUAGUAACGCAACAAAACUGCCAGUAACAGUAUCGCAGCAAAGCUGCUAGUAUCAGUAUCGCAGCAAAGUUGCCAGUAACAAUAUUUGUGGCAAAGCCACCAAAACAGUACACUUCCCCUGUAU
rnacentral:lncRNA from 1 species